GCAGCUGACAAAUCUGCAGCAACUGUGUGAUGCUAUCACGUCAAUAUGGACCAAAUUGUCUGAGGAUUGUUUCCAGCACCUUGUUGAAUCUGAGGAUUAAGGCUGCUCUAAAGGAAAAAGCUCAAUCAUUUUAUCUACGGCUGGAAACAUCAGUCUGGCUCUUGUCACAGCAGAUACGACCUAAUAAGUUCAGGUAAGAGCAGCCAGACGCUCAGGUAGAUAUUGAUUUGCAGUUCUAAUAAACAGCUAAAUGUUUGCCUAAAAGUUACUGCUUGGCACGCUGAAAGCUGGAAAUACUCGUAUCCAAUAUUAGAAAUGAAAUUUUUUAAAAGAAUUGAAUGUUUAACCAGGGGCAUGUUCUGUAAGUAAUAAAAAAUGUUUUUCAGGUCCUGCCUGAGGAAUCUGGACGAGCCAGCGAGAGCUCUCGCAAAUGAAACGUGAACUUUUAGCUGACAUUAACAAAGGUGUCACAUAGUUUGCAGAGUCUCGACUGGUUGCUUACGAACCAAAUGUGACAAAGGUUGAGGAAGUCACUGCAGCCGACAGCCUUUAAGCCAAGCCCCACUAAUUGUCUCCAGUAGUAGGUGCUUCAGUUCAGCACCUACUACUGAAACACCGCGUGACAUCAGUCUACUCGUCUAAUUCAAGAAAGCAAUUCAACAUAAAAUAUCAAACCGUUCCCUCAAAGCCUAAAAAGACAUUGGAUUUUGACCAUCAC
ensembl:lncRNA